UACGGAGGGAGCUAGCGUUGUUCGGAAUUACUGGGCGUAAAGCGCACGUAGGCGGCUUUGUAAGUUAGAGGUGAAAGCCCGGAGCUCAACUCCGGAACUGCCUUUAAGACUGCAUCGCUUGAAUCCAGGAGAGGUGAGUGGAAUUCCGAGUGUAGAGGUGAAAUUCGUAGAUAUUCGGAAGAACACCAGUGGCGAAGGCGGCUCACUGGACUGGUAUUGACGCUGAGGUG
rnacentral:rRNA from 1 species